AGGCGGGCAGAACAUGAUGUCAGGAGAUCAAGACCAUCCUGGCUAACAUGGUGAAACCCUGUCUACUAAAGCCGGGCAUGGUGGCAUGCGCCUGUAGACCCAGCUGCUCGGGAGGCUGAGGCAGGAUAAUUGCUUGAACCCAGGAGGCGGAGGUUGCAGUGAGCAGAGAUGGCGCCACUGUACUCCAGCCUGGACAACAGAGCAAGACUCCGUCUCAAAAAAAAGAAUUGGCUGGGUGUGGUGGCUCAGACAUGUAAUCCUAGCACUUUGGGAGGCCGAGGUGGGUGGAUCCCUUGAGUGUAGGAGUUCAGGACCAGCCUGGGGAACAUGGCAAAACCCCAUCUCUACAAAGAAAAGAUAGAUAGAAAAAAAAAAAGUCAAUGUGGGUAGAAAACUUGAAAUUCUAUUUAUUAAGAAAUUAGUGCUGCCAGGCCACAGUAGCUCAUGCCUAUAAUCCCAGCACUUUGGGAGGCUGAGGCAGGGAUUGCUUGAGCCCAGGAGUUUGAGACCAGCCUGGGGCAACGUUGCAAAAACCCUGCCUACAAAAACAAAACAAAAAAAACAAAACAAAAAACCCAGGUAUCUGGUGGUGUGCCUAUAGGAGGAUUGCUUGAGCCCUGGGAGGUCAAGGCUGCAGUGAGCUGUGAUUGGGUCACUGCACUCCAGCCUGAGUGAAAGAGCGAAACCCUGUCUUAAAAAUAACAACAAAAGAAAUUAGUUCCAUGUGGAAAAUAAGCUGAUACUGUACAAGACCAUUACCUGUUUGUAUUCAUAUAUCUGAACUAUCCAGAAUAGUCAGCAAAACUGACUUCAGAAGGACUCAGGCCUCACAAGCCUCCAUCAGGUAAUCACCUAGGUUGCAUCACACUUGAAACAGGAACUUCUCCACAGACUCUCCAAAUGCCUAAUUCUAAUAGCAUUCUCUUUAAAAUUAUGGCAAAGUUUAUAUCAGUUGUUUUUCCCAUUUCCAAAGAUCAGAUAUUCUGUCAAAUACUGCCCUCCAGAAGCUGAGAUGGAAAAGAUGGGUUUAAAUUAGUUAGAGAAGCAUAUAGGUGGUACCUAAUUUAAGUAGCAAGGCAGGAUUUUUAGUUCUUAGAGGAAAAGUGAGACACAAAAGAAUAAGAGACAGGAUAGGUAGGAAGGAAACCUUAGACUGUGUGAAUCUAUUCUUUGCUAACAACAGACGCUACAAAAAGUUCUCAUUUGAAAUAUCUUGUCAAGCUACAGACAACACGUUUUCUUGACAUGAUUUUAAUAAAAAAUACAGCUGACAUAACAGAUUACAUGAAACUAUACACAAUGACAUUCUCUGCAUAGUAACCAACACUGAUGUGUGUACUUGAAUUUUUAAAUGGAUUAUUUAUAAUCCUUUAAAGUGCAAUUUAUUGAAAGGUUUAAGCAAAUCAGGAUAAAGGAUCUUUCUAAUAAAUGACUAACAUUAAAGAGAUGCUAUAUUGAUAUAUUUAGAUAAAUCUUUCAAAAAUCAUAAUUGAUUUCUAUAGAUGCCAAAUUUACUUCUGUUGUAACAAUGACCUGCCCCCCUCAAACCCCAAACUUAAUUGCUGAGGAUUAAGAAGAUCCUCUAAUUGGCAAGAGCUUUUUCUGAUGUUAAUAUUUUUGUCUGUUUCAAUACAUCUAACUAAAAAGAACUAUGGGUCUAGAGUAGUUGCUUUAGCAGCCCUGAGUUCUAUAACCACAAUGGUAUUCCUGUUAGAACUUAAGAGAAUGUUGUGAACGUUCCCCAUUCUAUUUGAGGAGAAAACAAAGAACUCAGUUGCUUUCUGAUUUAGCAAAGUAACUAUGCUUUGGGCUAUAGUGUUAAUGUCUAAGAUAAAGGUAGCAAAAAUUGGAGUUAUCUAAGAAUCAGAAAAUGCUUUAGAGAAAUGAACUGUAAGAGGAAUGUUUCUAGGAGCUGUCUGAUGGGGUAGAAGGGAUUGCAACACAAAGGCCAUUUACUGCUGUGAUUGAAUAUUGUCAUUGUUUUUCUGUCUAUUUCCUUUAGUUGGUGAAAAUAUUUCAAUAUGCUGCUGUCCCAAAAGCCUGGCCAUUAGAGGAUAAACAAGACUCCUUUACAGGGUUAAUAAAGGAGCAAGAUCUUAAGGGAGC
rnacentral:lncRNA from 10 species